rnacentral:rRNA from 1 species
UGAGCUUGAUCCUGGCUCAGGAUGAACGCUAGCGGCAGGCUUAACACAUGCAAGUCGAGGGGUAUAGUUCUUCGGAAUUAGAGACCGGCGCACGGGUGCGUAACGCGUAUGCAAUCUACCUUUUACAGAGGGAUAGCCCAGAGAAAUUUGGAUUAAUACCUCAUAGUAUAAUGACUUGGCAUCAAGACAUUAUUAAAGUCACAACGGUAAAAGAUGAGCAUGCGUCCCAUUAGCUAGUUGGUAAGGUAACGGCUUACCAAGGCUACGAUGGGUAGGGGUCCUGAGAGGGAGAUCCCCCACACUGGUACUGAGACACGGACCAGACUCCUACGGGAGGCAGCAGUGAGGAAUAUUGGACAAUGGGCGCAAGCCUGAUCCAGCCAUGCCGCGUGCAGGAUGACGGUCCUAUGGAUUGUAAACUGCUUUUAUACGAGAAGAAACACUACUUCGUGAAGUAGCUGACGGAUCGUAGAU